GGGUUGUGAGGUUAAGCGACUAAGCGUACACGGUGGAUGCCCUGGCAGUCAGAGGCGAUGAAGGGCGUGCUAAUCUGCGAUAAGCGCCGGUAAGGUGAUAUGAACCGUUAUAACCGGCGAUACCCGAAUGGGGAAACCCAGUGUGAUUCGUCACACUAUCAUUAACUGAAUCCAUAGGUUAAUGAGGCGAACCGGGGGAACUGAAACAUCUAAGUACCCCGAGGAAAAGAAAUCAACCGAGAUUCCCCCAGUAGCGGCGAGCGAACGGGGAGGAGCCCAGAGCCUGAAUCAGCAUGUGUGUUAGUGGAAGCGUCUGGAAAGGCGCGCGAUACAGGGUGACAGCCCCGUACACAAAAGCGCAUGUGCUGUGAGCUCGAUGAGUAGGGCGGGACACGUGGUAUCCUGUCUGAAUAUGGGGGGACCAUCCUCCAAGGCUAAAUACUCCUGACUGACCGAUAGUGAACCAGUACCGUGAGGGAAAGGCGAAAAGAACCCCGGCGAGGGGAGUGAAAAAGAACCUGAAACCGUGUACGUACAAGCAGUGGGAGCACCCUUCGGGGUGUGACUGCGUACCUUUUGUAUAAUGGGUCAGCGACUUAUAUUCUGUAGCAAGGUUAACCGAAUAGGGGAGCCGGAGGGAAACCGAGUCUUAAUUGGGCGUUAAGUUGCAGGGUAUAGACCCGAAACCCGGUGAUCUAGCCAUGGGCAGGUUGAAGGUUGGGUAACACUAACUGGAGGACCGAACCGACUAAUGUUGAAAAAUUAGCGGAUGACCUGUGGCUGGGGGUGAAAGGCCAAUCAAACCGGGAGAUAGCUGGUUCUCCCCGAAAGCUAUUUAGGUAGCGCCUCGUGAAUUCAUCUCCGGGGGUAGAGCACUGUUUCGGCUAGGGGGCCAUCCCGGCUUACCAACCCGAUGCAAACUGCGAAUACCGGAGAAUGUUAUCACGGGAGACACACGGCGGGUGCUAACGUCCGUCGUGAAGAGGGAAACAACCCAGACCGCCAGCUAAGGUCCCAAAGUCAUGGUUAAGUGGGAAACGAUGUGGGAAGGCCCAGACAGCCAGGAUGUUGGCUUAGAAGCAGCCAUCAUUUAAAGAAAGCGUAAUAGCUCACUGGUCGAGUCGGCCUGCGCGGAAGAUGUAACGGGGCUAAACCAUGCACCGAAGCUGCGGCAGCGAACGUAUCACCCAAGACAACUUUGCGGAGUUGACGAUUGACGGAGCGAAGCGACGUCAAAGCGUUCAUUAAAGUCGAGUUGGCUUAGGGAUACGUUCGUUGGGUAGGGGAGCGUUCUGUAAGCCUGUGAAGGUGUGCUGUGAGGCAUGCUGGAGGUAUCAGAAGUGCGAAUGCUGACAUAAGUAACGAUAAAGCGGGUGAAAAGCCCGCUCGCCGGAAGACCAAGGGUUCCUGUCCAACGUUAAUCGGGGCAGGGUGAGUCGACCCCUAAGGCGAGGCCGAAAGGCGUAGUCGAUGGGAAACGGGUUAAUAUUCCCGUACUUGGUGUUACUGCGAAGGGGGGACGGAGAAGGCUAUGUUGGCCGGGCGACGGUUGUCCCGGUUUAAGCGUGUAGGUGUGUGUUCCAGGUAAAUCCGGUUCACUUUAACACUGAGGCGUGACGACGAGGCACUACGGUGCUGAAGCAACAAAUGCCCUGCUUCCAGGAAAAGCCUCUAAGCAUCAGGUAACAUCAAAUCGUACCCCAAACCGACACAGGUGGUCAGGUAGAGAAUACCAAGGCGCUUGAGAGAACUCGGGUGAAGGAACUAGGCAAAAUGGUGCCGUAA
rnacentral:rRNA from 1 species